rnacentral:rRNA from 1 species
AUUGAACGCUGGCGGCAGGCCUAACACAUGCAAGUCGAACGAGUGGCGGACGGGUGAGUAAUGUCUGGGAAACUGCCCGAUGGAGGGGGAUAACUACUGGAAACGGUAGCUAAUACCGCAUACCAUCAGAUGUGCCCAGAUGGGAUUAGCUAGUAGGUGGGGUAAUGGCUCACCUAGGCGACGAUCCCUAGCUGGUCUGAGAGGAUGACCAGCCACCCUGGGACUGAGACACUGUCCAGACUCCUACGGGAGGCAGCAGUGUGGAAUAUUGCACAAUGGGCGCAAGCCUGAUGCAGCCAUGCCGCGUGUAUGAAGAAGGCCUGCGGGUUGUAAAGUACUUUCAGCGUGGAGGCGUUACUCGCAGAAGAAGCACCGGCUAACUCCGUGCCAGCAGCCGCGGUAAUAC